rnacentral:lncRNA from 1 species
CCAGAUGCCACCCCCCCCCAAAAAAAAAUGACUCCAAAACAAAACCAACCCCUGGAAAUCCCUGGACUUAUUUUCUGGCCUUGUAGGAGAGGCUAUUUUCCCUAAAGUUGCAUGAGGAUGAUGGUGGAGGCAGGGAUACACUCUGUAUGGGGUUGUUCCACAGAGAUAUUUCUCUAAGGAGUGUCACUGGAAUGAGAACUCUAAGCUAAGUUCCAUAUAAAAUAUACCACUUCAGUAGGAAGUAAGAUACUCAAGAUACUCAGACAAAGGCUGAAGGGCCAUUCAUCACAAAUGCUUCAGGGAAUUUCUGGUCAUAUAAGAGCCAAACUAAGUAUUCUCUGAGUUUGCAUAUAAAUUUUGGAUUCGGUGAUUUUCCCCAUAUUGGCCCAGUACCUUUGUGACAGAAAAGCCAUAAGAACAAGGAUUUAUUUACUAAAGUAUGAUGGUCACCAUUUGGCAUAUGACUGUUAGGAUGUCAAGGUAAAAUGACUUGCCCCAAAUCUCAGCUGCUAUGAUACUUUUCAGACCCGAGAUUCUUAUUCUGAACCCCAUGUCCAGUGCUUCCAUUCUAUAUUAUGAUGUGUAACACUAGAAUCAUAAGGGAAUCUAUACUACACUUAGUUUAGUCCAUGAUUUAGCAUGCAUGCAGCCUUAAUAUAAUAUGUUGGGCUGUUUUCAUCACUUUGGCUCAACUAGAAUCUUGAAAUCUUGGUCAAGCUUUCUGAGAGAAUCAGCAAGAUAUAAAAAGUAUGACAGGAAAUCUUGGCAAUCUAAGUUCUUGGAAAAGGUCAUGUCAGUCUUAAUAUCCCUGGCUAUGCUGAUAAGGAAUCCCAUCUCUGACCUGUAUGACUUUAACACCUAUAUGUCCUUGGAUAACGGAGAUCGUCUUUCAAGGUGAGACCACAGGCAAGUAUGAAUCCUUUAAAAGAGAAGGCACCCUGGACCAGUGAUAAACUUCUAGCAACACCAAAGGAUGGAAGACACACUGACAACUGGAAAGAACUUUGAUUCAAAGACAUUAGGAGGAAUGGAUCAUGUAAGAUUAAUUGCCAAUCAUAUUAACUUCAUAUAUAGCAAAGUACAUUCACAUGCACAUAGGAAUACAUAUGCAUCCACCACAACAUAUCUAGAACACGAACAGAUUUCACAAUGACAUUAGGG